UAUGGCAUAAUUUAUGUGAGAUGUGUUCAUCUGAUUCGUGUCAAUGUGGAGCAAUGCUAGGGCCACAUGAUAAAAUGAAUGUGACCUCCU